ACGGAGGGGGCUAGCGUUGUUCGGAAUUACUGGGCGUAAAGCGCACGUAGGCGGCUUUGCAAGUUAGAGGUGAAAGCCCAGGGCUUAACCCUGGAAUUGCCUUUAAAACUGCAUCGCUAGAAUCGUGGAGAGGUAAGUGGAAUUCCGAGUGUAGAGGGGAAAUUCGUAGAUAUUCGGAAGAACACCAGUGGCGAAGGCGGCCACCUGGAUAGGAACUGACGCU
rnacentral:rRNA from 1 species